CACGCGGAAGUGCCCGAGUGACCCUGUGAAGGACCUCCCUCCCCUCACACACGCACAUACACAAGCCCAUGUGGGAGCCCGAGUGACGUGUGCUCGGUGGUCAUGCACCAUCAUUUCCCUUCCACCUUCCUCCUCGCCGCUUCCUCUCCCUCCACCGCGCAGCUCCAGCCGCCUUGCCGCCGCCGCAUCCCCUUCCAAGUUCAGGCUGUGGGUGGAACCUGUUGCUUUAGCUCACGUUUCCCUUCCCCUCCGGGCUGCACGCUGAGGAUGACCUCAGCGAGGUGUGUGUAAGGGGAAUGGAGGUUUCAUCCAGAAACUGGAAGACAGGCUGUGGGUUGGCAAGCACCUGCUUUCCUCAGCUUAGUUGGAAGCUGUGGUGUGUUGUUCCACCUGCCCAGCAUCCAUUCUCCAGUGUUCCUUAGGUGACUCCCCAACUCUCCUCUCAGGACACAACAACCUUUUGGGGAAGACCUCAUCCUGAUUGCAGAGGCACCUACCACUCAGUGGAACCAUUCACCAGUGUGGGUAUGGCCUGCAGCCAGCUCCUCCCCACUCUUUUCUCGCCACCCACUUCAGCUCAGCCUGGGGACAGGAUGCUCCUCCCCUCAAAUGAGAAUUGAGUUGUUCUCCAAGUGAACUGACAAGUUUCCACAUUGCUGCUUUGUGAAUCUCUGCAUUUGCAGAGACACACUGAGGUCAGUCUGGGGGCCACUUGCUGUGGAGGUGCAGAAAGAAGAGUUGGCUAUGAGGAGAGACGAGAUGACAACAGUAAGAAUUUUCUGAAGUCUUGGAAGCUGAGUUGCCUUUGUCAGGGAGGAGCCAAUGCACCUGGAAAGUAUUUGUGAGGCUUUAAUGCCUAAGUAACAUUUGUACUGAAAUGCCUGAAUCUCUGCAAGAGAUUUUGAUGUUCAAUGUUACUCUUUCAACAGAAUAAAUGUAGACUUGGUCGCAGUUGUUCAUGUAAUUAGGCACCGGUUUAGUAAAAUGAUUUAUGUAGGCUAAUUCAUAUUGACCCUCAGAGAAAAAAAUCACAUAUUGUUAUUCAAGAAGCACAAGUAAUUUUGUCUCUUUUUACAAACCCAAAUCAAAUAGAUUACCUUUCUGAGCAAUGAACAACUUGAAAUGCAGAUAGAUAUGCAAGGUUAAAGAGCAAGAAGAUAAGGACUUGCAUUUGAAAGAGCAAGGUCUUCUGUAAUUUGGUGCCACAAAAUUCUCUUAAAUGAAUGUAGAGGAAACCAGAGGAUUCUGAAACUGAAAAAAAUCUCUCAAGGAAAAAGAAAAAGAUAGAAUAGAGGUUUCAUGGGAAACAGCAUUUUAUAUGUUAUUUAGCAGCCUUCUUCUUGAAGGAAAAACACUUCUCAAAACCUUCACCAAUACUCCUCUUGUCUAGGCCACCGUCAUCUCUGUUGUGGACACUGAAAAAGCUUCCUAUUGAAUGUUCCUCUUUCACCUUUGUCCCUUACAAUUUACUCUCCACUCAGUAGCCAAAGUGAUCUUUGAGAGAUUGUCUUUUAAAGCUUGCAACUCUCCAAUAGCUUCCCACUGUACUUAGGAUAAAAAUCAAACUUCUUAGCCUGGCUUUAAAGGCUCUUUAGGAUUUCUCAAUACAGACAUUUUUUCCAGGACAAUAUGAGCAAGACAAAUCUUGUGUGAGUCUAUCAAGAGCAGUGCAAGAUGUUUAUCAUCCCCGGUCCCUGUCCACUAGAAGCCAAUGGUGUCCUGCCCUCAACUCUAGCAUUGUAUAUGCAAAUUGCCACCUGCACAUCUUCAAACAUCUUCUAGGCAGAAAUAGAGAGGUUGCAGCACCCCCAGCUGAAACCCCUACUAGCCUACUCAAUCUGGCUCCUAUGGACUUUGAACCUCAGGAUCUUUGCAUUGCCUAUUUUCUCUGCCUAGAAUGCUCCAUUCCCAGACCGACCCAUGUUUGGCUUCUUUUCCAUAUUCGAUCUUACCUCCUCAGUCAGGCCUUCCCUGACCACCUAAAAAAGAGCAAAACACACGCACACUUGUGCACACAAAUACACACAGUUUCUCUCUCUCACUGAACACGCUUUAUCACUAUAUACAAUUUCCUUGUUUACUCAUUUAUUGUCUCUCUCUCUCC
rnacentral:lncRNA from 1 species